GUGCCAGCCGCCGCGGUAAUACGAAAGGUGCAAGCGUUAAUCGGAUUUACUGGGCGUAAAGCGUGCGUAGGUGGCCAAUUAAGUCAAAUGUGAAAUCCCUGAGCUUAACUUAGGAAUUGCAUUCGAUACUGGUUGGCUAGAGUAUGGGAGAGGAUGGUAGAAUUCCAGGUGUAGCGGUGAAAUGCGUAGAGAUCUGGAGGAAUACCGAUGGCGAAGGCAGCCAUCUGGCCUAAUACUGACACUGAGGUACGAAAGCAUGGGGAGCAAACAGGAUUAGAAAC
rnacentral:rRNA from 1 species